rnacentral:rRNA from 1 species
GGAAGUAAAAGUCGUAACAAGGUCUCCGUAGGUGAACCUGCGGAGGGAUCAUUACACAAAUAUGAAGGCGGGCUGGAACCUCUCGGGGUUACAGCCUUGCUGAAUUAUUCACCCUUGUCUUUUGCGUACUUCUUGUUUCCUUGGUGGGUUCGCCCACCACUAGGACAAACAUAAACCUUUUGUAAUUGCAAUCAGCGUCAGUAACAAAUUAAUAAUUACAACUUUCAACAACGGAUCUCUUGGUUCUGGCAUCGAUGAAGAACGCAGCGAAAUGCGAUAAGUAGUGUGAAUUGCAGAAUUCAGUGAAUCAUCGAAUCUUUGAACGCACAUUGCGCCCUUUGGUAUUCCAAAGGGCAUGCCUGUUCGAGCGUCAUUUGUACCCUCAAGCUUUGCUUGGUGUUGGGCGUCUUGUCUCUAGCUUUGCUGGAGACUCGCCUUAAAGUAAUUGGCAGCCGGCCUACUGGUUUCGGAGCGCAGCACAAGUCGCACUCUCUAUCAGCAAAGGUCUAGCAUCCAUUAAGCCUUUUUUCAACUUUUGACCUCGGAUCAGGUAGGGAUACCCGCUGAACUUAAGC